rnacentral:rRNA from 1 species
GAUGAACGCUGGCGGCGUGCCUAAUACAUGCAAGUCGAGCGAACGGACGAGAAGCUUGCUUCUCUGAUGUUAGCGGCGGACGGGUGAGUAACACGUGGAUAACCUACCUAUUAGACUGGGAUAACUUCGGGAAACCGUAGCUAAUACCGGAUAAUAUUUUGAACCGCAUGGUUCAAAAGUGAAAGACGGUCUUGCUGUCACUUAUAGAUGGAUCCGCGCUGCAUUAGCUAGUUGGUAAGAUAACGGCUUACCAAGGCAACGAUGCAUAGCCGACCUGAGAGGGUGAUCGGCCACACUGGAACUGAGACACGGGCCAGACUCCUACGGGAGGCAGCAGUAGGGAAUCUUCCGCAAUGAGCGAAAGCCUGACGGAGCAACGCCGCGUGAGUGAUGAAGGUCUUCGGAUCGUAAAACUCUGUUAUUAGGGAAGAACAUAUGUGUAAGUAACUGUGCACAUCUUGACGGUACCUAAUCAGAAAGCCACGGCUAACUACGUG